rnacentral:sRNA from 1 species
AAAUUUACUACUUAAAAAAAUAAUCACGGGACGGGUAAAAAAAUUACAGAACGGGUUUUAUUUUGGAAUUGGGUUAUAAACUUCAGAUUUUUAACAAUUGUCUCAUGGAUUCGUGGUAUAGCGUUACUUAACAACAAUUAUAAACUGUAAAAUAUAUAUA